rnacentral:lncRNA from 1 species
AUGAGGCCAGGAUACCUUUGCUUUCUUUCUGGGUUUUUGCACUGUUUUGCCGAGACAGGGAUUUUGUUCCCAGGAGGCACUCCCUGGCCCAUGGGAUCUCAGCAUUCAAAGCAGCACAGGAAAGCUGGGCCCCUGAAACGGGGCCACCAAAGAGAUCGGAGAUCAAGCAGGAGGAAGUACUGGAAGGAAGGAAGGGAGAUCGCUGGGCUGGGGGAAUCAAGCACCAAUGUGAAGCUGACAAGAGUCCUGGAGACAGGGGGCGGUGAGACGGAAUCUGGCCAGGCCACACCCAUGGCUGGGGUGUGGUCCUGGGCCUGGGGAGGGUCGCUGUUUGAGCGGAGGAUGCAGCUUUAUAAAAUGACUCCGUAAGUAUGGCCUGGGCGGGUGGGGCCACAGGCCCCCCGCUGCCCCACCUGGGACUGUGGGUGUGAACCAGGAGCCACCUGCAGCACAGGGGGAGACCCUGGAGCAGGCAGUGGGGAACCUGCACAGCAUGGGUGGCUCUGAUCCCAGGAAGACACCGAUGUUUGGGCAGAGGCAGAGUAGUCACUGACUCUUGGCCUCUGGGAGUCCAGGUUGCUCUCUGAAGUCUGUGGAGCCCCCCACCCACCCCAUGUCCUAGGCCAAUGAUGGUGAACCUUUUAGAGCUUUCAGUGAUACAAACAAUCCGCUGUGCAGACAUUUUGUAGGUUUGUCCUAGGCCAUAAACUGAGGCCUCCGCAUAAAGGAUAUGUGUGUGUGUGUGUGUGUGUGUGUGUGUGCGCGCGCGCGUGCGCGAGCGUGCAUGCACGCACGCUUGUUGUGGUCUGUGCCAUGACUGCUAGCUGCAAGCUGGCUUUCUGCCCCAAAUGAGAACCCCCUCUGAACUCAGCAGCCCAGGAAGAUGGCCCCUGACUUCUUUCAUUGGCAACAAGGCUCUAGAAUGGUGGUUUGCAUCAUGAG